rfam:Haemonchus contortus, ISE/inbred ISE, WGS project CAVP01000000 data, contig: Hcontortus_38254
GACUGAGCUGUCUCGAGAGGACUGCUCGGCAAAUUAGAUCCGUAACUUCGGGAAAAGGAUUGGCUCCAGUGACCGGGUCGGUUGGCCUGUUAACUGAUGCUUGUGCGGUUUCGUCCGUGGCUGGCUGAUGCUCACGCUGAUGCUGGACUAGUGACAAGACUGCCUUGUGGACGUUUUCAGGUGUGUGCUUUGUUUUCGGACUUAGUAUCCUGACCGACCAUCAAAGCGGUCGAACUGGAACUGGUACGGACUCGGGGAAUCCGACUGUCUAAUUAAAACAGAGGAGACAGAUGGUCCUUGCGGACGUUUACUGUCUCUGAUUUCUGCCCAGUGCUCUGAAUGUUAAAUCGUAGUAAUUCGAGUAAGCGCAGGUAAACGGCGGGAGUAACUAUGACUCUCUUAAGGUAGCCAAAUGCCUCGUCAGCUAACUACUGACGCGCAUGAGGUGGGUAGGCUAUGUCGCUUAGGCGGCAUAGUGAGAUCCGCUUGUGCGGAGACCCUUAAUGACCCCGACUGGGCGCCAAGGCAAACUUGAGUUCUACAGUUUGAGCCUAUGGACACCACCUGAUAGGUGGCUCGAGGCAGGUGCAUUGCGAGUCCGUCUGGUGGGGACGGAGCACUAGCCAAGAGUGUCCAGCACUUGCGUACGACUAGAGCGAGGGGUGCAGAACCUUGCCGCGCAAGUGUGGUCGGAUGUUUAGGGCCGUCAGCUGCUGCACCGGCUCGGCCGCCCCGCCAUUUUCCUACUCAGACCCCCAUGACCCUGAUACGGGCGCAACAGCAUGCAACGGCUGAACCCCCAACAGGAGAAGGGGUCUUCGAGUUCGGGUAUUGUAGCUUGCUGCAGUAUCCACCACCGAACGUCUAGCUGAUGCCGGGGGGACAACUUCCCCCCAGACAACGGUACUGUGCUGAAGCGGUGUGCGGCUUCGGGCGCAUGUGGCCUGAUGACGUGAAUCCGUGGAUGUACAGUGCCGUGGUGAAGGCAUGAGCGUUAGCUUGGUUAUCACAUAUGAAAACCACAGGGAAGCUUUGUGGACCCCAUCUCGCAUGGACCCAAGGUGGAAGCGUGGCGAGUAGUUGUGCGAGCGGACCCGGUACCUUAGCCUGGCAUAGCGAUUAAAUUCGCCGGACCCAAGGGAUGAAGGCCGACAUCACAUGCACCCUAAGUUCCCGUUAGCUUAGGGGUCGGCUGUCUAAUCUCGACCAGGGACGGUCUCCCUGAGGUGGCACCCGGAAUGGCGGGUCCCUUUCGCGUUUUCGUGGAAACACGGUCUCGCGACCAGGUAUCUUAAGCGGGGAACGAUACCACAUCAGGGACCCCUCCUGUAAGGGUACCUCGAUGACGCAGCCUUGCUGGUCCGGCCAAUCCGGCGAGGAUUGCUGAGAGGGCGUUGGCCGCAGCGUGAUCUCAUGGUGAAACGGCGCCAUGAGCGUUUUGUUGUACAGGUUCUGACUGGUUAGAAAAAGGGGCCAGUUCUUAUAGCUGGGGUAAGAACUGGUUGCAAGUUGGCAGUGGGAAUCUCGGCCUGUACAACACGCUGCACGUGGGCGAGAGGGUGGCGCUGACGCGCAUGAAUGGAUUAACGAGAUUCCCACUGUCCCUAACUACUAUCUAGCGAAACCACAGCCAAGGGAACGGGCUUGGCAAAAAUAGCGGGGAAAGAAGACCCUGUUGAGCUUGACUCUAGUUUGACAUUGUGAAGAGUCAUGAGAGGUGUAGCAUAGGUGGGAGACCUCGGUCGACAAUGAAAUACCACCACUUUCAUCGAUUCUUUACUUAUUCGGUGAGGAGAGAAUUGAGCUCCGGCUCUUUUUUCUUUGUUUUAAGCAAAGCCACCUGGUGGCAUUGCGACUCUCGCCGAAGACAGUGUCAGGCGGGGAUUUGACUGGGGCGGUACAUCUGUCAAACCGUAACGCAGGUGUCCUAAGGCUAGCUCAGAGAGGACGGAAACCUCUCGUAGAGCAAAAGGGCAAAAGCUCGCUUGAUCUUGACUUUCAGUACGAGUACAGACCGCGAAAGCGUGGCCUAUCGAUCCUUUUAAUCCAGAUAGUUUCUGGUAAGAGGUGUCAGAAAAGUUACCACAGGGAUAACUGGCUUGUGGCAGCCAAGCGUCCAUAGCGACGUUGCUUUUUGAUCCUUCGAUGUCGGCUCUUCCUAUCAUUGCGAAGCAGAAUUCGCCAAGCGUUGGAUUGUUCACCCACUAAUAGGGAACGUGAGCUGGGUUUAGACCGUCGUGAGACAGGUUAGUUUUACCCUACUGUUGACUAAUUGUUGCGAUAGUAAUCCUGCU